rnacentral:rRNA from 1 species
GAAAGUAAUAAAGGGCGUAUGGGGGAUGCCUAGGCUCUUGGAGGCGAAGAAAGACGUGGUAAGCUGCGAUAAGCCUCGGGGAUUUGCAAACGAGAAUUGAUCCGAGGAUUUCUGAAUGGGACAACCCGGCAGGCAGAAGGCCUGUCACACGAAAGUGGGCCAACCCUCUGAACUGAAACAUCUUAGUAGGAGGAGGAAAAGAAAGAAACAUCGAUUUCCUAAGUAGCGGCGAGCGAACGGGAAACAGCCUAAACCACAAUUGUUACGGCAACUGUGGGGUUGUAGGACUGCAAUAUUCAAAUGACUGUGAACUGGAAUGUUCUGGAAAGUUCAUCCAUAGAGAGUGAAAGACUCGUACAGGCAAGCACGUCAGGCGAUAGCAGUAUCCUGAGUAGGGCGGGACACGAGGAAUCCUGUCUGAAUCCGCCGGGACCACCCGGUAAGGCUAAAUACUCCCAAGAGACCGAUAGUGAACCAGUACCGUGAGGGAAAGGUGAAAAGAACCCCGAACAGGGGAGUGAAAUAGAACCUGAAACCAUACGCUUACAACCUGUCGGAGCGGCUUCGUGCCGUGACGGCGUGCCUAUUGAAUAAUGAGCCUACGAGUUACUAAUCACUGGCAAGGUUAAGUGCACGGAUGCACGGAGCCGAAGCGAAAGCGAGUCUGAAUAGGGCGUUUAGUCAGUGGUUGUAGACGCGAAACCUUGCGAUCUACCCUUGAGCAGGUUGAAGGUUGGGUAAAACCAACUGGAGGACCGAACGAAUAAGCGUUGAAAAGCUUCUCGAUGACUUGAGGGUAGGGGUGAAAGGCUAAUCAAGCUGGGAAAUAGCUCGUACUCCCCGAAAUGCCUUUAGGGGCAGCGUUGUAAUUAAGAGUCUACUGGAGGUAGAGCUACUGAUUGGAUGCGGGGGCUUCACCGCCUACCAAAUCCUGACAAACUCCGAAUGCCAGUAGUAUGAUUUACAGCAGUGAGCGACCGGGUGCUAAUGUCCGGUUACGAGAGUGGAACAACACAGACCAGCAACUAAGGUCCCCAAGAGUAUACUAAGUUGAUCUAACGAUGUUUUGCUGCAGAGACAGCUAGGAUGUUAGCUUGGAAGCAGCUAUUCAUUCAAAGAGUGCGUAACAGCUCACUAGUCGAGCGGCAAAGCGUGGAUAAUAAACGGGCAUCAAGUAUACCACCGAAGUUCUGGGCACGAAAGUGCGGUAGGGGAGCAUUCCAUUCCGCGUUGAAGCCGAACCGUGAGGUUUGGUGGAGUGUAUGGAAAAGCAAAUGUAGGCAUGAGUAACGAUAAUGCGGGAGAGUAACCCGCACACCGCAAGACCAAGGUUUCCUGAUCAACGCUAAUCGGAUCAGGGUUAGUCGGGUCCUAAGGGUAAGCCGAACGGUGAUCUCGAUGGAUAAUCGGUUAAUAUUCCGAUACUGACAUAUACCUCGAUGGAGAGACGAAGGAACGUAAGUGCCGCCACCUGACGGAAUAGGUGGUUAAAGGGCUUAGGUAUAGGGGCAGAUUAAGAGUUAGUCCUUGCUGAAACCUGACAGUACAGAGAGCCUACGGGCAAUUUGAUAGUGCACCCAAGUCGACUUCCGAGAAAAUCUUCUAAGUUAUAGUAUAUGUCACCCGUACCGUAAACCGACACAGGUGGUCGAGGAGAGUAUCCUAAGGUGCUCGAGUGAAUCACGGUUAAGGAACUAGGCAAAUUAACCCCGUAACUUCGGGAAAAGGGGUCCCAUCGCGAGGUGGGCGCAGCGAAGAGGUCCAGGCGACUGUUUAUCAAAAACACAGGGCUCUGCAAAUUCGAAAGAAGACGUAUAGGGCCUGACACCUGCCCGGUGCUGGAAGGUUAAGAGGGGAUGUCAUCGCAAGAGAAGCAUUGAAUCGAAGCCCCAGUAAACGGCGGCCGUAACUAUAACGGUCCUAAGGUAGCGAAAUUCCUUGUC